GUGGAUGGAGGUCUCAGAUUUCAGCAGAGGGACCUUUCUGACUGAGCCUGUGCAUUCUGUGAAGUAAGAGACACAGCACAGCUAGAUAUGCCCUUCUUCAGGACAGAAGAAGGACAAAAGACAAGAUAGUACAUCAUUUGUUAAACACUCUGCCUUCCAUGAAACCUCAAAAGCUUCUUUUCAUAUCUAGAAUUUCUGGGGUUGAAGCACCACUGGUGUGCACCUGAAGCAGAACUUCUGGUUUAGUUUCCUCCAAAAGGAAUACGAUUCAUAUGCACCGAAACAGCAAAUCAAACCAGCGCAGGAUAAAUGGGGAUGAUGGAGAGAUUUGCUGCAAAGCUGCUCUACUGUUACGAACAUUAACGUGGCUGGGGAUCCACUCUACACUGAAAUGGAUUGCCAUCUAUUCAAGGACUGUUAGGGGACAACAGACCUUAACAGGGGACUGUUUUCUGACCUACAAUGAGACCAGACAAUAAUAAGGAAACAUAUAACUGACUCAUAAUGUUCAAAAGGAAGUUUUUGGGGAGGAGAGAGGAAGAGACAAGCGUGCUUCAGUAGCCUGGUGGGGGUGCAGUCUUCAGGAAAAAGACUCUUGAGCCCUAAGGAAACUGCUCCAGAUGGCGAAGAAUCUGAGACAGACAAAACAUGUAAGGUUUAUUUGAUAUGUGCUGGUUUAUUUUUGAGUUAUUCCAGAGAGCCAAGCAAAGAAGCAGUGCUGUUGCCCCUUUAUACUACAAAGCAGGCAGAACAUGGAAGAGUUCUCAGUAUGGCAGGAACUGCCACAGCUGUGACAGCGGAUGGGGGGCUCCAGAGUCACUCUAUGGGGUACCUCACAAGUCCAAAAUAUUGCAUCACAGUAAUAUGAAAAAUCUUUAGCAUCAGGAGUAAGCAAUGAGAAAAGGUUUCCUUCAUUUCUGAUUUAGUCAAAUUCCAGAUCCAGAUCUACUUUUAAGUUAUUUAAGCUUAAAAUAAUUCUGAAAAUGUUUCAUUUUAGCAAACUUCUACCAGAAAGGAAAAGCAAAGCAAAGAGAGGGUGUUACCACUUUGGUUUUCUCUCUGUGAAGUUGUGGUGGUGGUGAAAAAACCCCAACAAAAUCAUCUAUAGCUUUAUUUUUGCCUUUUUUUUCCCAGAAAAAGAAAUAUGUCUAUGCAGAGAGAUUGAUCGUCUGUUUUUUAGUUGAAAUGUACCCAGCAGUUCUCUGCAUGCACCAUAUAUCCCAGCAAUUUAUUACAUGAUGUGAAAGUCAGUCUCUCAGAAAAUAAAUAGCUUAAAGCCAGCAGUAGCCAAAGCUGAGGUGUCCUAAAAUGAGCAUUAAUCUGGAAGGAAAAGGUAACUAGCUGGAGACUUGAGAGCUGUGUUGCAGAGACAUGUGUGGUUCCUAGGGAAGCGCACGCUCAAGUUCUUGUGAAAUAUACCAUUUAGCACUCGCUGCUCUCCAGUCACAUUCUUUCUCUUCACUGUUUAUAUUUACUCACCUUUUUCUGCCUUCUGAUCUUUGCCAUAGCUUUCUAAUUUUCAGUUCACUUCAUUAAGUGCAAACAGUGUGCGAUCGAGUAAGACACGGUCAGGAAAAUGACAAGGAACAUGGUGUCCUAGGCCAGGAGUUACCCUGAGGAGCCAGGGAAGAUUUAAAUUAUUUCAGUCAGUCUUCUCUAUAUCCUUAUGGUGCCCCACACUGAGGACCAUGAGAGUAAGCUGAGGCCUUUCCCUGUUACCAUAUUACCAGAUAGGAAAUAUCUCCCCUACCUGGGGACAUGGGACCGGAAGGGAACACCCAAGUCAUCCAAAGUGAUCCCUGAAAUGGUGCAGGAGAUAUCCAAUGACAGGAGGUUCCUCAGAAUGACGACUCCAUAUCCUCAGCCAAGGAAAUGCUUCCUAACGUUCUCCAGGAAAAAUAAGACCUCUAGUUUAAAAAAAAAGCACCAACAACCUAUUUAUGAUGUAUCACAGACAGACAAGAAGGGGAUCAGAGGUACCAUGAAUACCCUGUGUCACUGCAGUAGCAGAGGACUUACUGAAUAAAACUUUCCAACCAUUAUAGACAGCAACUAUGUUCCAUGUUAUAGAAAGAAAGCAAAGAAAAAGCCAGUUUUAAAUGGAAGAAAAAUUUCUUAUUGCCCAGAAAACUGGUGAUCGGUUUAAUUCUGAGGAUGUGAGCAGGACACGGUGACCAGAUACCUUAAAGAAUGUAAUGCCAGCCAUGUCUUGGACCAACCAACUUCUCUGAUCCAAACACAUCUGCUAUGAGAGAAGGGCAAGGGCAAGCUAUCCCAUAUGGUAUGAAAUAACCUGUCCCUUGCCUCAAGAAAGGGAGGGUGAAAUAGGGUAAGUAUAUAACGAAAUGGUGCGCCAUCUGCCUGUCUUUUGUCUUGCAGUGCAAGGUCUGUUGCCAUGACUCCAUCAAAAUUAGAAAACAAAGGUCUAGGUGCCAGUAGCAUUAAAAAUAUGCUUCUCUCACAAAUUAUAGGUUGCAGAUAACCAUGGGAAGUGGCUGCAGUGCUUAUUAGGGUCUUUAGCUCUGUCAAUGACACCUAUGCUCAACCAACUGUAGCUGCCCCUUAUCCUGUAAGAGCUGUUGAAGUCCUGUUCGUAUUUACAGGCUUUCAGUAACAAAACUGCGCCCUGCGGUUGGGGAUCAGCUGCGUGCCAGAGCUGCUCAUUCACGGCAUGUAACCCUCUGCGGGGUGGGGGGGUUUGUGACCGGCCCUCCCCGUCACCCUUCUGAGCAGGGGUCAAGCUGUUGCCAAAUUGCCACAUUUCUUCCAAAAGAUAUGGAUGAACAGACAAGGGUGAACAUGCUGUUUUAUAAAUCCCACGCUGAUUAUUUUAAUGACUGUGGGCCCUUCUGGAAACCUCGUGGGGGGUACAGAACAUCACAGAUGUGGCAGGAGCCCAGCAGCUGACUAAAAACAGUCCUGGGGGACCCACUUAUUCAUGGACAGAUGCAUAAGUUAACAACAGACAUCUCAUCAUCCUUACUGCCAUCACAAGUUGUAACUACGAGGACUCAAGGUAAACCCCUGCAGUAUUCAGCCGUAAUUCCCAGUCAAUGGAGUUGUCCCAAUUAAACUGAGAGUGCACGUGACUGAGUAUUUGAAACUCCACUUAAAAGUAAAUAUUGACACGGUUUAAAGGGAUUAACUAAGAUGACUGGAUUCUUGUUAAAAAGUUUUUGAGAUAAAAAAGAGCCUUUUACAAAGUCUUCAGUGUUUUGAGAUGUUACUUCCUGUGAUAAAAUGGAAAAAGGGGAAAACUUGCUCUAAAAGUAUAUGAAAAUCUCAUGUUUCUAAACACUUAUCUUUAA